rnacentral:rRNA from 1 species
GACGAACGCUGGCGGCGUGCCUAAUACAUGCAAGUUGAGCGAUGAAGAUUGGUGCUUGCCCCAAUUUGAAGAGCAGCGAACGGGUGAGUAACGCGUGGGGAAUCUGCCUUUGAGCGGGGGACAACAUUUGGAAACGAAUGCUAAUACCGCAUAACAACUUUAAACAUAAGUUUUAAGUUUGAAAGAUGCAAUUGCAUCACUCAAAGAUGAUCCCGCGUUGUAUUAGCUAGUUGGUGAGGUAAAGGCUCACCAAGGCGAUGAUACAUAGCCGACCUGAGAGGGUGAUCGGCCACAUUGGGACUGAGACACGGCCCAAACUCCUACGGGAGGCAGCAGUAGGGAAUCUUCGGCAACGGACGAAAGUCUGACCGAGCAACGCCGCGUGAGUGAAGAAGGUUUUCGGAUCGUAAAACUCUGUUGGUAGAGAAGAACGUUGGUGAGAGUGGAAAGCUCAUCAAGUGACGGUAACUACCCAGAAAGGGACGGCUAACUACGUG